rnacentral:lncRNA from 14 species
GACUACACCAGGUCUCACGAUGCUAGGGUAACCCUGAGCCUUUCUCAGGGUGAGCCUUUAAGCACAAAAAUCCUGGAGUAUCCUAGACCAACAAACUCCAGUUAACAAGAACAGCUAAUCAAGCAGAACUACAAAAGCCAGAAGGCAAGACUGUGAGGCAGCAAGUUUGAAAUAACCAUGGUGGCACACCGGCAGUCCCAGCACUUGGAAGGCUGACCCAAGGCAGGGGGAUCCAGAAUUUGAUGGCACUCCGGGAUUCAAGAGAAACCCAUCUUGAAAACAAGGUGAUGUAGGUCCCCUGCUGCUGGACUGGGCCAACAAAUUCAAACCCAAUCAGAACAACGGUUGUGGACUGAGCAGUCUUUCUUCCAAAUAACUGAUCCUAAAUUGUGGAGGAAAACUCUUCAAAGACUUUAAAUCCCCAGUCUUCCAGGAGAAGCUGGGUUUGGACUUCCAGUGUCUUGUGAGUUCCAAGUCCUUCAUCAUCCCCACCCAGCCUCCUCCCCACUCCCCCUCUUUGUAGAAGAAUUUUUUAUUCUCUGUG